CACGUGAGCAACCUACCGAACCUGUGGGGGAUAGCCGGCCUAACGGCCGAGUAAUACCGCAUACGCUUUCAGUGAGGCAUUUCAUUGAAAGGAAACCUACGGGACAGAUCGAGGGGCUCGCGGCCUAUCAGCUAGUUGGCGAGGUAACGGCUCACCAAGGCAACGACGGGUAGCUGGUCUGAGAGGAUGGCCAGCCACAUUGGGACUGAGAUACGGCCCAG
rnacentral:rRNA from 1 species